CGGGGCUCCUUGGUGAAUCAUAAUAACUUAACGAAUCGCAUGGCCUUGCGCCGGCGAUGGUUCAUUCAAAUUUCUGCCCUAUCAACUUUCGAUGGUAGGAUAGUGGCCUACCAUGGUGGCAACGGGUAACGGGGAAUUAGGGUUCGAUUCCGGAGAGGGAGCCUGAGAAACGGCUACCACAUCCAAGGAAGGCAGCAGGCGCGCAAAUUACCCAAUCCCGAUACGGGGAGGUAGUGACAAUAAAUACUGAUACGGGGCUCUUUUGGGUCUCGUAAUUGGAAUGAGAACAAUUUAAAUCCCUUAACGAGGAACAAUUGGAGGGCAAGUCUGGUGCCAGCAGCCGCGGUAAUUCCAGCUCCAAUAGCGUAUAUUAAAGUUGUUGCAGUUAAAAAGCUCGUAGUUGAACCUUGGGUCUGGCUGGCCGGUCCGCCUCACCGCGAGUACUGGUCCGGCUGGACCUUUCCUUCUGGGGAAACCCAUGGCCUUCACUGGCUGUGGG
rnacentral:rRNA from 1 species